CCUACGGGGGGCAGCAGUGGGGAAUAUUGCACAAUGGGGGAAACCCUGAUGCAGCAACGCCGCGUGAGUGAAGAAGUAUUUCGGUAUGUAAAGCUCUAUCAGCAGGGAAGAAGAAAGCGGGUACCGGACUAAGAAGCCCCGGCUAAAUACGUGCCAGCAGCCGCGGUAAUACGUAGGGGGCAAGCGUUAUCCGGAUUUACUGGGUGUAAGGGGAGCGUAGACGGCUGUGCAAGUCUGAAGUGAAAGCCCGUGGCUCAACCCCGGAACUGCUUUGGAAACGGGAUGGCUUGAGUGCUGGAGAGGCAAGCGGAAUUCCUAGUGUAGCGGUGAAAUGCGUUGAUAUUAGGAGGAACACCAGUGGCGAAGGCGGCCUGCUGGACAGAAACUGACGUUGAGGCUCGAAAGCGUGGGGAGCAAACAGGAUUAGAUACCCUUGUAGUC
rnacentral:rRNA from 1 species